GACGAACGCUGGCGGCGUGCCUAAUACAUGCAAGUCGAACGCAGUGGGGACGGGUGAGUAACACGUGGGUAACCUCCCAUCAGAGGGGAUAACACUUGGAAAAAGGUGCUAAACCGAUACUGAUGGAUGGACCCGCGGUGCAUUUGGUAGUUGGUGAGGUAACGGCUCACCAAGGCCACGUUGCAUAGCCGACCGUAGGGGGUGAUCGGCCACACUGGGACUGAGACACGGCCCUGAUGCUAACGUGAGUACGCAGUAGGAAAUCGUCGGCAAGGGACGAAAGUCUGACCGUGCAACACCGCGUGAGUGAAGAAGGUUUUCGGAUCGUAAAACUCUGUUGUUAGAGAAGCGGUAUCUAACCAGAAAGCCACGGCUAACUACGUGCCAGCAGCCGCGGUAAUUC
rnacentral:rRNA from 1 species